rnacentral:tRNA from 1 species
GAAGGUAUAGCUCAAGUGGUAGAGUACAUGCUUAGCAUGCAUGAGGUCCUGGGUUCAAUCCCCUGUACCUCUU